rnacentral:rRNA from 1 species
AUACGUAGGUGGCGAGCGUUGUCCGGAAUUACUGGGCGUAAAGAGCUCGUAGGUGGUUUGUCGCGUCGUCUGUGAAAUUCCGGGGCUUAACUCCGGGCGUGCAGGCGAUACGGGCAUAACUUGAGUACUGUAGGGGAGACGGGAAUUCCUGGUGUAGCGGUGAAAUGCGCAGAUAUCAGGAGGAACACCGGUGGCGAAGGCGGGUCUCUGGGCAGUAACUGACGCUGAGGAGCGAAAGCAUGGGUAGCGAACAGGAUUAGAUACCCUGGUAGUCCAUGCCGUAAACGGUGGGCGCUAGGUGUAGGGGUCUUCCACGACUUCUGUGCCGUAGCUAACGCAUUAAGCGCCCCGCCUGGGGAGUACGGCCGCAAGGCUAAAACUUAAAGGAAUUGACGGGG